ensembl:lncRNA
GCCUCUCCCUUACCAUUCUCUCUGCCCUUCUUCUCUCCCUGUCUUCUUCUCUUAUUCUCUCUUCUUCUCUCUCUUCUUCUCUCCCUGUCUUCUUCUCUUAUUCUCUCUUCUUCUCUCCCUCUCUUCUUCUCUUAUUCUCUCUUCUUCUCUCCCCCUCUUCUCUCUCUCCUUCUCUCUUCUUCUCUCUCUCUCUCUUCUCUCUCUUCUUCUCUCUUCUUCUCUCCCUCUCUUCUUUUCUCCCUAUUUUCUCGCUCUUCUUUUCUCCCUAUUUUCUCGCUCUUCUUCUCUCCCUCUCUUCUCUUUAUUCUCUCCCCCUCUUCUCUCUCUUCUUCUCUCCCCCUCUUCUCUCCCCUCAUUCUCCUUUCCUAUCCUUCACAUCCAAAUCUCUCCUACCUGUCUCUCUUUAUUCUUGUCUUUUCCUUUCAUCUUCAUUACGCCUACCGAUCACCUUCCCCCCCCUCCUUCUCUCCAUCUGGCUCUUUCCCUGUCUUUCCCUCUUUUGAAAGCGAACCCCUCCCUUGGUCUGAGGGCGUGGAAAGAGAAAAGGUUCUUCUUCCCACAGUUUUACCAAGAACAAUUCAUAGACUUUAAUAGAGCUCUGCACCCUCCCUGGAGCCUGUCAAAACAUCAGCACCACUGUAGGUUCCUGGACCUGAGCCCUAGGACCAUGCCUCAGGACUACCUGGCCUGAUAACUCCUUGCUGUCCCCAAUCCACCUGGCCAAGCUGCUGCUCUUGUUUCAACUGUUCUGCCUGCGCCAAUGACCCUGACCUGUUCACUGGACGUGCUACCUUGUCCCGGACCUGCUGUUUUGGACUCUCUCUCUCUCUACCGCACCUGCUGUCUCUAACUCUGAAUGAUCAACUAUGAAAAGCCAACUCACAUUUACUCCUGAGGUGCUGAUCUGUUGCACCCUCCACAACCACUGUGAUUAUUAUUAUUUGACCCUGCUGGUCAUCUAUGAACAUUUGAACAUCUUGGCCAUGUUCUGUUAUAAUCUCCACCCGGCACAUCCAGAAGAGGACUGGCCACCCCUCAGAGCCUUGCCUUUCUAGGGAGUUUUUCCUAGCCACUUCUAUGUGCUUCUAUAUAUGCAUUGUUUGCUGUUUGGGGUUUUAGGAUGGGUUUCUGUACAGCACUUUGUGACAUUGGCUGAUGUAAAAAAAAGGGCUUUAUAAAUACAUUUGACUGAUUGAUUGAGGGUGCUGUGGCAACCCCUGAACAACCUGAAUAAAAUAAUAAUCCAG